UACGGAGGGUGCAAGCGUUAUCCGGAUUUACUGGGUUUAAAGGGUGCGUAGGUGGGCAGGAAAGUCAGUGGUGAAAUCUCCGGGCUUAACCCGGAAACUGCCAUUGAUACUAUUUGUCUUGAAUACUUUGGAGGUAAGCGGAAUAUGUCGUGUAGCGGUGAAAUGCUUAGAUAUGACACAGAACACCGAUUGCGAAGGCAGCUCGCUAAACUGUGAUUGACGCUGAGGCACGAAAGCGUGGGGAUCAAACAGG
rnacentral:rRNA from 1 species